rnacentral:lncRNA from 1 species
CAUGGUCACACAAAAAAGCUUGUAUAGAUUUAUAUGGGACGGAAGGAAAGGGAUCACGUGGGCCCAAAUGGUCUUUCCCAAGGCGGAAGAGGAUCUAGGGGUUAGAGACCUAUCUAUUAUCACCACUGCAACCAAUAUUAAAAGAGCUUCAAAGUACUGGGAUAAGAGUGAUUCUAUUUUGGUAAAAUAGAUUCAAGAUAGGUAUAUUAAAGGAAAAAUGCUUAAUGACAUACAAAUCAGGCCUACUAUGGAUUCACAUUUCUGAAAAGCUUUUAUCUCAGAAAGGAAUCUAGUAGAUAAAUGUUUGGAUUGUAGGGUCAAUAGUACGAUUGUGUAGAGAUCUGGUAUUCCGAUAAGCAAGUUGGGGGGAAUGGUGAAAAGUAUUAGAGAUAGAAAGCAUAAAGAUAUGUUAGCUGAGGGAAUUUGGUCGAAGAUGCCGACAAAAUUCUCUAUUCUCUUGUGGAGGGUGAAAUGGGAUCACCUAAAUACGUUCAAGAAGUUGAGAAGUUGGAGAGUAUAAGUACCUCCUGUUUGUUUGUUAUGCAAUCUGGAAGAUAAACUAAGAGUCGUCUUUUCUUCAACUGUUCUUAUUCCAAAUCUCUCUUAAUUCCGUUGGCUGAGCACCUGAAUCUCGUCUUCUGGAAAAUAAUGAAUAUUUCAGUUCCCACCCAAUCCAGUCCAGAUAUUAGAUCGAGGGAUCUGAUGGAGGCUGCAUAAAAAAUUACGCACCACUCUCCCCCUUGGGGCUAUUAUGGAAUGCUAUUGGGUGCUUGUCGUAGCAUAUAUGGACGGAAAGAAAUAAAAGAUAUAGACAGCACGUUAGUAGGCCUCCUAAAGUAAUCCUUAACAAGGUUCAGGAUGCGUCUUUGCGCGAUGCGCCACCACCUGGAGCACUUGAGCUUUUGCGCCAGUGGCAUUUUCGUAAAUAUAUAUAAAAAUAAAGGGUUUUCAUAUAUUUUUUAUAUACCUAAAAUAUAUCUACUUCAUAAAAUAUAUCAAAAUAGUUAAAAUAGUUCGAAACACAGACUAGUUCAAACUUGAAAUACAUAAUACGAUCUAUAGGUGAUCCUGUGUCUUCUUUAGCCGUUUAUAGAACAAAUAAUUUACAUCUAUAGGUUCAGGUUGGGGUUCACCCUCAUUGUUUUCAUUAAAUUCAGUCAUUUCGAAAACCCUAAAAAAAUAACAAAUUAAUUAAAAAUAACACAACCCUAAUCUCUGAAAUGAAAUGGAGAAAAAGAUGAAGGAAGAUUAAAAUAAAAAAAAAAUAAAAAAAAAAAUAAAAAAAAAUUGAAAAAUCACAUGCUAAGGGAGAUGCACCUGGCGCAUCUCUCUUCCAAGGCGCAUCGGCACCAUAGUUUUUAAAGCGGCGCUUAAAGUCGCUUUAAGCGCUCAAAGCGGAAAAGCGGUUUUCUAGGACCACUUUUCAGAUCGCUUUUUCUAAGCGGGUACUCGGGUCGGGUAAAUGGGUUGGGUCAAGUAAAUAUUUGAUUUCUCCUUUGAUUGACAAAUGACAAUUAAUCAUGUAUGUCAAGUAACGAUUUUCUUUGUAGUUACGUGGUGGCGUACUUAUGGAACUUCCAUCAAAGAACUAAGAAAAUACGCAAUGUGAAUCUUAGCUCUCUGUGCCUCUGCAUCUAGUUGUGAGAGAAAUUGGAGUUUAUUUGAACACGUAAGAACUUAAUUCUCAUUUGUAAAUUAGGGUUAUUUUUCAGAUAUUAGGUCAUUACCAUAAUCCUAAUAUACUAUUUGCAGAUCCAUUCGAGGAAAAGGAAUCGAUUGAAUUCCAAAAGAUUGGAUCGUCUGGUGUACAUAACGUACAACAGGAAAUUAGAGGAACGUACACAACGACACCGACUAUUGGAAUUGGAAGCGAGUGAUAAAUACAAUCCCAUAAGAGUCAACUCGAUGAACUUCAAUAGUGAGUGGAUGACAGGCGUAGAAGGGGCAUGCGACGAGUUCGUCUACACUGAGGCAGAUGGACUAACAUGGGCGCAAGUGGAGGAAGCUUCAGGAGCUGCUGAACAACCGGGACCGUCUACAAGGAGUGGGCAAACCCGUGGAUAUACCUAUGAGAGACAAAGGACUUCAUUUCCAGAUAUGGGAACUGAAUCCCAAUAUCGUUAUGCCAUGAAUGAAAUUGAGGAAAUUAUCAGAGAGCCUCUAGAUAAUAUAGAAUUAGGUGCUCGUCUAGAUG